GACGAACGCUGGCGGCGUGCCUAAUACAUGCAAGUAGAACGCUGAAGGAGGAGCUUGCUUCUCUGGAUGAGUUGCGAACGGGUGAGUAACGCGUAGGUAACCUGCCUGGUAGCGGGGGAUAACUAUUGGAAACGAUAGCUAAUACCGCAUAAUAGUAGAUGUUGCAUGACAUUUGCUUAAAAGGUGCAAUUGCAUCACUACCAGAUGGACCUGCGUUGUAUUAGCUAGUUGGUGGGGUAACGGCUCACCAAGGCGACGAUACAUAGCCGACCUGAGAGGGGGAUCGGCCACACUGGGACUGAGACACGGCCCAGACUCCUACGGGAGGCAGCAGUAGGGAAUCUUCGGCAAUGGACGGAAGUCUGACCGAGCAACGCCGCGUGAGUGAAGAAGGUUUUCGGAUCGUAAAGCUCUGUUGUAAGAGAAGAAUGAGUGUGAGAGUGGAAAGUUCACACUGUGACGGUAUCUUACCAGAAAGGGACGGCUAACUACGUG
rnacentral:rRNA from 1 species